rnacentral:lncRNA from 1 species
UUUUUUUUGGUUAAAAUUUUUUGCAAUUGAGCAUGCACUUAUGACAUGUCUUGCCAAGCUCAUAUAAUGCAAACAAAUGUUUUUAUUUAUUUAAGAGACGAUCUAAAUUAGUAAAUUUUAGAUAGUUUGUUUACUUUUUUUAAUUUCCUUUUACUUGAUGGGAUCCAAUAUUUCUAUUUUUUUUGUUUGCUUUAAAUAAGCCUUAUUGAAUCGGACAAUGCCACUGUAAUCAACGGAUUAACUUGGACGGGAUAUUCAAGCAUGAAGAGAGCUUAAUCCAA